rnacentral:other from 1 species
ACGGUUAUAAAUCAACAUAUUGAUUUAUAAGCAUGGAGAAAUCCCCUGAGUGAAACAACGAAUUGCUGUGUGUAGUCUUUGCCCAUCUCCCACGAUGGGCUUUUUUUUAA